UACAAGAAUAUAACUACUAUAAUACUUCUCCUAUAUACAGGAAUAUAACUACUAUAAUACUGAUCCUAUAUACAAGAAUAUAACUACUAUAAUACUGCCCCCUAUAUACAAGAAUAUAACUACUAUAAUGCUGCCUCCUGAUUUUAGUAUAGAAAUAACUUUACUGUGUGUCUUGGUUCUUUCUCUGUCAUGAUCAGGUAAUGUAGUGAUAGGAGACUCUGGGGUCAGUGAGCGCAGUAUAUGACAUUAUUAUCUUGUCACUGUAUGGGAGUAGUAGUUGUAGUAUUAUUGGUUCUUCUCCUGUGACCUCUUCCCUCUGGAUGAUAACAUGUCCACCCCCGGGUCCUUUCUUAGUGUAACUACAGAUCCCAGCAGGAUUUCUGGACUUGUCCGUCGUGCUGACCUCUUCUGCCGCUCCCGCUUCCUUCCUCACUUUCUUGUCUCGGUUACACAUCUUACUUCUCUCCGUACAGAGAUUGUGGAAGAUUCUGCAAAAAUCCCUUUGACCUAAAUACAAAUUGAAUGAAGGAGAAAGAUUGGGAGGGGGAAAAGAUGUAUGGGGAGCAGAGACGUCAGGACCCUCCGCUUCUGAUCUGAUGGGAGCUUCAUGGUGUUUAAAGGAGCAGGGACCUUCAGGAUGUCUUGUAUUAUGGCGCACACAUAUAUGGCGGGGACUCCUUACAUUCCUCCACUCCUUCAUCUCUCUCCUGUAAUACUAUUCUCUUCUUCCUUCUUCCUCGACUUCUUCUGCUUUCCCUUCAUCAUCAGCAUUUUUCUUCAUCAUCUCCCUCCCCCUUUGCUCGUUUUGCUUUUCAUCAUCAUCAUCAUCAUCAUCAUCUUUUUUUUAUUACUUUUCCUCUUUUUCUCCUUCUACCUCUUCUUACCCUUCAUCCUCCAUCAUCAUCAUUAACUUUUUUCUUUAUCUUCCUCCUCCUUUCCUCUUCAUCAUCGCCAUCAUUAUGCUCAUCAUCUUCUUCUUUUCCUUUAGCUUCUUCACCAUCUUCUCACCCUUCUUCUCUUUCCCAUUCUUUCUUUCUUAUUACUUUUCCUCUUUUCCUCCUUCUACCUCUUCUUACCCUUCAUCUUCCAUCCUCAUCAUUAGUGUUUCUAUGUCCUCUUCCAUUUUCCAUCACUGUUCCCUUCUGCUUCUCCUCCUUUUUGCCCCUUUUCUCCUUUUCCUUCAGUCUCUUCUUCCUUCCUCUUCUUCUACUUCCACUUCCCAUCAUCUUUGUCCUUUUCUUCUUCUUCUUCUUCCUCUUCAUUAUCUUCUUUCCCCCCCUCCCCCC